rnacentral:ncRNA from 2 species
CACUCAUCCAGAGAGGCGGAGGGACCGGCCCGAUGAAGCCUCGGCAACCUGGUUUAGUCAAGUAGUCAAUUGGUCGAGUGGUUAAAGUGGUUGCUGACCACGUGACGACGAGACCACCAGACCACAAGACUAACACCAAGGUGCCAAUUCCGGCAGAAAUUCUGGAAGAUGAGGA